ACUCGAGGUGGCUUCACUCAGAGGUUGGAGAAGACAACUGGUGGACUAAACAUCAAGCCUCUGCACGAUUCAGGUAAGUGGAAUAAAAUACAUUGUAAAUAAACAUUAUUAAAACAGAUUGUGAAGUCAUUCAUUCAAAACUUGCUAUGACCUAAGCCUAAAUGACUUAAUUUCUUUUUAGAAUUAAGACAACCUUAGCAGGAGAGCCCCAGCAGUAACUUUCUCUCAAGCAGAUGAGCAAUAAGUUGCUUUGUAUGAACACCACCCUAACAAUCAAGUAGCCUGUUAACAGUAGACCAAAGGUAUGAUGAUCAAUUAUAAAUGCAAUAUGGUUGAAAGCUUGACAAAAAUGUAGCUUGAAGGAGAAGGGACAGCUGAGUAACAAAGUCCUGGUACGCAGACGACGAUACUUUUACACUGACAAGAGUGUAAUGAUGAUGGAGACACAAGCCAGAGAAAGGGGGACCAAACACCAGGCCAGAAUUCUGCAUGAGUCAGAUCCAGUGGGUGCAGAUCAUCAUACAGAUGGUUCAAGUGUGGAUCCACCUAAUAUUCAAGAUUUUCUGUCCUGGGACACUCGGCUAACCAUCAAGAAAGAACACAGUAGGUUAACAAGAAUCUGACCUCACGUUUGAUCAUUACAAAAUUAUGGCAGUACAUUACACAUUUAAGGACUGUUAUUCCUCUGGCUGAUUUAAAAAUACCCAAAAGUUCUUAAAAAGAAGCAGCCCUAGUUAUUUUGGCUUGUUAAACAUAAACUAUAUAGACAUAACUAUUGCGACACCUCCUUCUAAUAAACAGGUUUAAAUACUUUACUUAUUUCCAUGAGCACAAAUCUUAAUGCUACAGCAUAUGAUAUUCUAGAAAAACCGUUUGAUGCUAAAUUUAUAGCAAGAGUUUUGGCAGGGCCCUUUUCAAUACCAACUUAAGAAUGACCCUACAAACAAAGUAAGGUUCAAACAGAAAAUUAGUGAUUCAGUCUGGUGUGG